rnacentral:rRNA from 1 species
GUGGGGAAUAUUGGUCAAUGGACGAGAGUCUGAACCAGCCAAGUAGCGUGCAGGAUGACGGCCCUAUGGGUUGUAAACUGCUUUUAUACAGGGAUAAAGUGACGUACGUGUACGUUUUUGUAGGUACUGUAUGAAUAAGGACCGGCUAAUUCCGUGCCAGCAGCCGCGGUAAUACGGAAGGUCCGGGCGUUAUCCGGAUUUAUUGGGUUUAAAGGGAGCGCAGGCUGAUGAUUAAGCGUGACGUGAAAUGUAGCCGCUCAACGGCUGAACUGCGUCGCGAACUGGUUAUCUUGAGUGAGUUCGAUGUUGGCGGAAUUCGUGGUGUAGCGGUGAAAUGCUUAGAUAUCACGAAGAACUCCGAUUGCGAAGGCAGCCAACAAGGCCUUUACUGACGCUAAAGCUCGAAGGUGCGGGUAUCGAACAGG